UGAGCCCUACGGGAGGCAGCAGUGGGGAAUAUUGCACAAUGGGGGAAACCCUGAUGCAGCGACGCCGCGUGAAGGAAGAAGUAUUUCGGUAUGUAAACUUCUAUCAGCAGGGAAGAAAAUGACGGUACCUGACUAAGAAGCACCGGCUAAAUACGUGCCAGCAGCCGCGGUAAUACGUAUGGUGCAAGCGUUAUCCGGAUUUACUGGGUGUAAAGGGAGCGCAGGCGGCACGGCAAGCCUGAUGUGAAAGCCCGCGGCCCAACCGCGGGACUGCAUUGGGAACUACCGGGCUGGAGUGCCGGAGG
rnacentral:rRNA from 1 species